CCGCGCUGGUGCCUUUGGCUGCGGCGGGCGGCUGGGCUGUGCGGGUGAACCACCCUGGCGCUCCGGCCGCCGCGCACCUGCCCGCCUCGACCAGCAGCGCAGCCCGCGCCGGCAGAGGGCGCUGCGGGGGCGCGGGGCGCGGGGAUGGGCGCCAGCCCCCGGUGCUAAGGCAGGCAGGUCCACGUCGGGAGGGGAGGGGAAGAGAUGACAGAUGAUGGACAUCCUGUGGUGCUCGACCCCCGGAGGGCCCCUCCGACAGGCAAGACCCCACAGGACUGGUCUCCCCAGGAAGACGCACUUCGCCCCCAGGGCCAGAGCCUUGAGCACAUCGUUGCCUGUCCGGACUCCACCGUCUAGGAUCCCUUUAAGGAUGAUGGGCAGUUGAGUUAUGGUCCGAAACCACGAGAGAUCUUCCCAGCAGAAGGAUGAGUCGAUGGGAGACAUCUGCAGAUAUGGCAUUGAAUUUCUCUGUGGGGAAUAAAAGAGAAACCUUAGUCCUGAAUUCCUUCAAGGCUGCUUGAUCCAUUCCAAAAAUGAGGCACAUUCAGAAAGCUAGUGAAUAAGUGAAAAGAAGCAGUUAUGAGCUUGAAAAGAGGAGCUAUAAAAACCAAUCCCAUUUCCAGCUCCUUUCCUUUACAAAAAUAAUUUUAUACUUCAA